rnacentral:RNase_P_RNA from 1 species
CUUGGUCCCUGGACGGCCGCCGGCGCAACACCACGUUGCGCGGGAGGAAAGUCCGGGCUCCCCAGGGCAGGGUGGUGGGUAACGCCCACCGUUCGCAAGAACAGGGACAGUGCCACAGAGAUCAAACCGCCGGACGGCCAGCGAUGGCGACGGCAAGGGUGAAACGGUGAGGUAAGAGCUCACCGCGGUCCGCGCGAGCGGGCCGGCACGGCAAACCCCACCCGGAGGAAGACCGAAUAGGAGGAUCGCGCGGCCCGCGCUCAGGUCCUCGGGUAGGUCGUUGGCGACCGUUCGCGAGAACGGUCCUAGAGAAAUGGCCGUCACCGCUUCACCGCGGCACCAGAACCCGGCUUACGGGGACCAAGCACU